GGUGGAGCAUGUGGUUUAAUUCGAAGCAACGCGAAGAACCUUACCAGGUCUUGACAUCCUCUGACAAUCCUAGAGAUAGGACGUCCCCUUCGGGGGCAGAGUGACAGGUGGUGCAUGGUUGUCGUCAGCUCGUGUCGUGAGAUGUUGGGUUAAGUCCCGCAACGAGCGCAACCCUUGAUCUUAGUUGCCAGCAUUCAGUUGGGCACUCUAAGGUGACUGCCGGUGACAAACCGGAGGAAGGUGGGGAUGACGUCAAAUCAUCAUGCCCCUUAUGACCUGGGCUACACACGUGCUACAAUGGGCAGAACAAAGGGCAGCGAAACCGCGAGGUUAAGCCAAUCCCACAAAUCUGUUCUCAGUUCGGGAUCGCAGUCUGCAACUCGACUGCGUGAAGC
rnacentral:rRNA from 1 species